rnacentral:rRNA from 1 species
UACGGAGGGUGCGAGCGUUGUCCGGAAUCACUGGGCGUAAAGGGCGCGUAGGUGGCCUGUGGAAGUCUGCGGUGAAAGCCCGGCGCUCAACCCCGGGUCGGCCGUGGCAACUACUGGCUGGAGCACUGUAGGGGCGGGUGGAAUUCCGGGUGUAGCGGUGGAAUGCGUAGAGAUCCGGAAGAACACCGGUGGCGAAGGCGGCCCGCUGGGCAGUUGCUGACACUGAGGCGCGACAGCGUGGGAGCAACAGG